rnacentral:rRNA from 1 species
GGGAUUAGUGGGGCGAAACGGGGGUGAGUAAACACGUGAGUAAACCCUGCCCCUUGACUCUGGGAUAAGCCCUGGGAAAACUGGGUCUAAUACCGGAUACGACCAUUGCCCGCAUGGGUUGGUGGUGGAAAGCUUUUGUGGGUUUUGGAUGGACUCGCGGCCUAUCAGCUUGUUGGUGAGGUAAUGGCUCACCAAGGCGACGACGGGGUAGCCGGCCUGAGAGGGUGACCGGCCACACUGGGACUGAGACACGGCCCAGACUCCUACGGGAGGCAGCAGUGGGGAAUAUUGCACAAUGGGCGAAAGCCUGAUGCAGCGACGCCGCGUGAGGGAUGACGGCCUUCGGGUUGUAAACCUCUUUCAGUAGGGAAGAAGCGAAAGUGACGGUACCUGCAGAAGAAGCGCCGGCUAACUACGUGCCAG